rnacentral:rRNA from 1 species
UCGGGAAUUUUGGGCAAUGGGCGAAAGCCUGACCCAGCAACGCCGCGUGAAGGAUGAAGUAUUUCGGUAUGUAAACUUCGAAAGAAUAGGAAGAAUAAAUGACGGUACUAUUUAUAAGGUCCGGCUAACUACGUGCCAGCAGCCGCGGUAAUACGUAGGGACCAAGCGUUGUUCGGAAUUACUGGGCGUAAAGCGCACGUAGGCGGAUUUGUCAGUCAGGGGUGAAAUCCCGGGGCUCAACCUCGGAACUGCCUUUGAUACAGCAAGUCUUGAGUCCGAUAGAGGUGGGUGGAAUUCCUAGUGUAGAGGUGAAAUUCGUAGAUAUUAGGAAGAACACCGGUGGCGAAGGCGGCCCACUGGAUCGGUACUGACGCUGAGGUGCGAAAGCGUGGGGAGCAAACAGGAUUAGAUACCCCCGUAGUCCCUGAGCGGGCUGGCAAGGCGCAU